AAAGAAAAUUGCAAACCACUUGAAAAAGCGGGACGCAAAGCUAAAGGACCUAAGGAUAUUCUUUCUAUGGUAGCCAGUUGCCACA
rnacentral:ncRNA from 1 species